ACGGUCAUUUAAUAUGUGAAUCCCACUUUCUUUUUCCACUUAUUUCAGUUCCUCCCCGUUUCUUCUGGAACUUACUUAAUUCUUCGGUUCUUUCAUGUCUCUGCUCCGAGCUCUCCCUAUCAAACAACGAUGGAGACAUAAUUUGAGCCCUAGCUUUACUGUUUUCUUUCUUUCCCUCUCUAUGUAGACCUCACUAUACUAUUUUCCAUCAAUUUGAUACCAAAAGCAGCGACACUCUUUUUCUUUUUCUCCUCAAGGUUCCACCCUCAUAACAAAAACAAAAAAAUUAUCUUUCACCUUCCGCUUCCAAGACUCUUGCUAUCAUUGUGAAUUCUGUUGUGAGGGCUGAACUUGAAACUUUUGAGAAGGUGACCAUGGAAUUGGGAUAACUUGAAGUUCCUUUAAGUUCCUUUUUCCAAACAAGUUGUAGAACUAAAUGAUCUGCUUGUGUGAUUGCACAGAGGAUAAUCUAUAUAAUUACCUUUUAACACAUCUGGUUUAUUGUUUUGGGUAUUAAGAAUCAGCUUGAAAUCUUUUUAGCUGGCCAUGAUAGUUCUAGAACAAUUGAAGAAUCGGCCUGGAGUAAUCAAAAAGCUGGAGAUUUCAUCUUUAUGUAAGAACUAGAAGGCAAGGAGGUACAUUUUGGGUGAACUCAACAACAUUGCCAGGAAACUUCCAAUAUGUAUAUUACCAAUUUUAAUUUUUCCAUUAUAUGUUUUUAUCCGAUUUGCAAAAUACUUGCAUAGCUUCAGGUUUUUUAAAUGUGACGCACAGUGCAUAUGGAGUCAAAUCCCUUUGAGAUUGUAGGAGAUUUAAUUAUGCCAGCUCUCAAACUCAAGAAAAAAAAAAGGUCACAACUGCUUGACCAUUAUAACGUACUUUAUGCUGAAUGCAUCUUCUCUUUUGUAACAAUGGUUGUUAUAUUUACUGACUCACCACUCAGUAAGAAUUUUGUGUACUCGAUAGGUAAAAAUUCUUUUGAAGCAUAUAUUUUUAUUACAUUUCUUUCUAUUAUAAUUUUGUAGAGUGGCUCUAAACUUGGUAAUUUUUGGAACCAUCUCUUUCCUUUCGGAGAAAGAUUAAGUAGCUUGGCAUUUGUAAUGUUACUUUUUUCUUUUAAUAAAAUGAGAAAUUUAUUGAUAUGACUAAUUUACAUAAGAGGGGAGAUAAAUUAAACUUUACCUCCCUAAGAUACAUAUGUAAAUCAAAAGAGUGCACUUUAAGUGGUACAAGGUUAAUCCUUGGAUCCCCAUAAGCUUUAAAACUGAUUUUGGAGUGGCUUCUGCAAUAGAAGAUGUUGCAGUUAAUUAUCUUCAUGAAAAAUCCUCCUCCUAUUGCUUAUUGAAAUUUAUAUUAUUGUGUGCACUUACUGUCUGCUCCACCAAGUUGAUUCACUGCUUCUACAAACAUCUGAUGAAGGUCUGGUGUCCAUUUCAAAUUUUGAUUAGAGGAAGUGCCAACUGAAUAUGUAAUUAUUGACUUCUUAAAAGUUACGUCUAUGCUUUGUGAUGAGAUGAGUUUCAGAUAGCUGGUUGCUACAGUUCUACUGAGUGCCAGGAAAAGUACAUAUGGAGGGUGGUUUAGAUUCUAAACAGCCAAUUGACACUUUAUAUUUCCUCCUU